rnacentral:ncRNA from 1 species
AAUGUAAGAGAUAUAUAAAUAUAUGCUGAUACCAUGUAGGUUGAGGAGUAAAAGGAGGAAUCCGGUCACGUCUAAUUAGCUAGUUGUUGAGGCAAUAAUUUACUAAGGCGAUGAUCAACCACAUAAGGACUAAGACACAACUCAGACUUCUAUGGGAGAUAGUAGUGAAGAAUUUUCCUAACGGGCGAAAGCUUGACGAAGCAAUGUCGCGUAGAGGUAGAAGACCCAUGGGUUGCGAACUUCUAUUCCCAAAGAAAAAGUAAUGACAAUAUUUGAGGAAUAAACAUCAAUUAACUUUAUGCCAGUAGUCACGAUAAUCAGAAGAUGCAAACAUU